rnacentral:ncRNA from 12 species
GCCUGAGGAGCGCUGCAACGGUUAGCAGAUAUUAACUCGCUAACCGCUAGGCUCAGGCAAUCAUUUAGAUUAACUGCGCUCAUUCAAU